AAAUUUAAGUCGAAGUUCAUUUUCACAAUAUCAAAGUCAACCCUUGUGGCAUGAAAAUUCAAAACCUACUCACUCUCGCGCAACCACGCGGCUUAAAUAUAUAAUUAACAUGCAAUUUUUUUUUCUAUUAGCUGAGAUUCAAGAUUCUCAUGGAUAUCGCCGGUUCAAAUUCGCGUUUUUUUUUGUUUGAUAGAAUAAUUUUGGAAACUGUACAUGAGAAAAUACCGUAGUAAUAAGAAUGAAUGUGCUAAUAUACAAAAUGUAUAGAUACAGUUAGUUUCAAUUCUAUGUCUUUGACAAGUAAUAACAAGAUCUGUGUAUAAAAAAUUACAUCUGUGUAUCAAAAAAAUCUGUCUAUCAAACAAUAAAAAAAUAAAAAUCUUGAUCAUGAUCUCUUCUUUUGGGAUGCUAUCUAUCAAUGAGAGCUAGCUGCUCCAACUUCAAACUUAGGAAUAACUAUAUCUCCAUGAAACUCCAGUGGUGGCGCGUGAGCUAUGCUAACAUGUCCGGCGACAUGAAUUUCAGCCAAAGUACAGCGUCCUUUACUCCGGCCAGGAACGGUGGAGCAUGGAUUCUUCGUCGAACCUUUCACCGGACCUCUUUGUAGCAGUGUUCUUGCUGCACUGGUGUUAUCAAAACUCAAUACAAGAAUUAAAGUUAUGAACAAACACAACUUUAAUAUCGUGUGGCUAGUACUACUACUACCCAUUAUAAUCAAAGAUGAGUUGAUGAAGUUUCAAAGGAUUGAAGAGAAAUGAAGAGGUUUAAGGAUGAAGAAGAUUGAUUAGGUGAUGUUUAAUGAGAAUGAAGAAUAUGGUUAAUG
rnacentral:lncRNA from 1 species